rnacentral:rRNA from 1 species
UACGGAGGUGGCAAGCGUUGUUCGGAAUUACUGGGCGUAAAGGGCGCGUAGGCGGCCGAGCAAGUCAGAUGUGAAAUCCCCGGGCUCAACCUGGGAAUUGCAUCUGAAACUGCGUGGCUUGAGUUCUGGAGGGGGUAGUGGAAUUCCCAGUGUAGCGGUGAAAUGCGUAGAUAUUGGGAGGAACACCGGCGGCGAAGGCGGCUACCUGGACAGUGACUGACGCUGAUGCGCGAAAGCUAGGGGAG